AGAAAUAACUGGGGGCAUGGAGAAUGCGGUGGCUGUAAAGGGCCGCUGAGGCGGUGGAGGCCUGGCAGAGAGCGUCCCCGCGGUCGCGGCUUCUGGCUUCUCUGUGGAGCUUGGUUCUUCCGUGGUGGUGCAGCACCCCAGGAACUUCAGGAACCAGUCCUUCCUUGGAGAGCUCCCCGGGACAGCCACGGGGGCCAAGUGAAACUAGCGCGUUUUCUUGGAUCCUACACUUUAUAGUGAGUCAUAAAUACUUUAAAUACAAAGCCAACAACAUUUGCUGCAAAUAAACGUAAAAAUACUGUUAAAGUGUAAAGUGUUUUCCUCCGUACCAUCUGACGUUUCUGGCGGUUCGUUGAACGCGAGAGAACGCUGAGCCGUCUGCACUGAGCCCGGGAGCAUCUUCAGGGCAGCGCCGCCCACGCGCGAGGUGAAUGAAGGACACGGCCUCUUGACACUCCCAGGCAGCACAGAUAGACGGAUCCUGGCUAGAAGUGACCCCAGGAUUUUUUUAUUAUCAAGAGAGACUAGAAGAAUCAUGAGACUUUUCCUAGUUGCCUUUCAAGAAUAUGAAGAAAAAAAUGGUUCUCAAAGUGGGUUUGAAUGAGUAUUGUUCCAAUAAAUGAACUUAUAUUCAUAUUUCAUCCCCUGAGUCCUGGUGUUUCAACAUCCAUUAGAACUGAAUAAUCAUACUGCAUAUCAAAGUUUGUGGGAAAUUGCUAAAGUGUAAAAAAUGCUCAUAUUGAAAAAGAAGAAAAGCUGAAAAUUAAUUGUGCUUCCAACUUUAAAAAAGGACAACAAGCUAAUCCUAAAGAAACUAGAAUAAAAGGAAAAAAUAAACAGAAGUUAAAGAGUAAUUUUAAAAAAUACAAUAGAAAUUAUCAACGAAGCCAAAAGUUGAUUCUUUGAAAAGAUUAAUGAAGUAGGCAAACCACUGGUGAGAUGAAUCAAGAAAAAUAGAGAAAAGACUCAAAUAAACAUUAGGAAUGGAAAAUAGGGCAAUGCUAAAGAGAAUUCAAAGAUCAGAAAAAUAUGGGAGUAUACUAAAAACGAUUUCAUGCCCAAGUGUUCAAAUCUAUAUUGCCUU
rnacentral:lncRNA from 1 species